rnacentral:tRNA from 1 species
GGUAUUACGCCGGUCUGAACGGAAGUCGUUGAUGUUGACUAAUAUAUGAAAUUUAAUUUCUUUAAUACUA